rnacentral:misc_RNA from 1 species
GCCUGUUCGAGCGUCAUUACAACCCUCAAGCUCUGCUUGGUAUUGGACGUCACAUAUUGUGCGUCUUUAAAUCAGUGGCGGUGCUAUAUAGUUCCAGCGUAGUAGAUAUCUCGCUGUGGAUAUUUAUAUAGGUACUUGCCAGCAACCCUAUUCUUUAAAAGGUUGACCUCGGAUCAGGUAGGGAUACCCGCUGAACUUAA